CGUGUGCUGAGCAGUGUGAGUUCAGGAAGGGCCCGGAUUCCACGUCACGGAGCUGAUUGCUGGCCUCGGGUGCUUGUGGGGCUGGAUGUGUGUGAUGCAAUGUUCUCCCCGACUCAGUGUGCAGGUGCAGAGCUCUGGAAAGCACACCAUGCAAAUACCUACCUGCAGGAAAGGGAUUUGCACCCAGCCUAGGCUGUGAGCGUAUGCCUUGCGUGGCUGGGGUUGCCCAGACUGCAUCUCAGAGUGAACAAGCUACUGGUUCUGCUGGGGACGGGAGAGGCUCUGGGCUCAUUCGGCAUAGGGCAGGCAGAUAAAGAGGCUGAUGUCCCAACUUCAAGGCCCUGCUGAAAUGUCACGCAGCCAGGUUAGCAGUUCAAGCAGGUUUGCCUUUGCUGAAGAAGCAGCAGGCCUGAAAUUGUCCUGUGGUUUCAAAAAUCAGAAUCGGUAAAUAACGCCUUGCCUUAUAACUACAAACCAGGGAGAUGUCAUAAAGUGGGGAGGAGAACACUCAGAAGCAAAUGGAAAGGUUGGUUUUCCUCCCUCCCGCCGCGCUGUCCCGCACUGCUACCGCGGCCUUGGGUCCCUGUGGCCGCCCGCCCGCCCGCAGUUUUCUGGCUUCCUCUCCCGCCCUGGGGCAAGCUCUGCCUCUCCGAGGAGCCUGUCCCGGAGCUAGGCCUGGAAAAACAACAGCGAGAAACUUUGGCAGGGUUUGCAGCAGCUCAGUGAAAAAAAAAAAGAGAAAGAAAUGCACACCCUCAAGUUUGGUUCGGGGCUGCAGCUGCCAGUUCCGAUUUGGGGGCCCAGUCGAGGGGGGGGGUCAUCACUCGGUAAGGUUCAAGUGCGCACGUGCACGGAGGGGCCUGGGCA